CAUGUGUCCCCUGGCACGCUAUUUGAGGUUUACUAUGGAACCUCAAGUAGUCUGACCAGGGGACACAUGA
ensembl:miRNA MIR4465 microRNA 4465